rnacentral:lncRNA from 1 species
CAAAGUCAUCGUCGACGACUGGAGAAUCAAAGUCAACUGAACGCAUAUCUUGCCCGCCUAUAUUAAUUUGCAAUGUCGUGGUUAGCCCGAUCCAUAGCCAACACUCUCAAACUCAAUGACGGCAGAGCUGUUAACAAGAUCCAAUCUGGAUCCAGAAGCCUGCAACACCCGGACAAUGAUGCCCGUCUUCAACUUCACCAUCACAUGGUGUCCAAGAUGAUCUGUCGGAGCUUAGUAAAAUCCUCAUCAACCAUUUUUGGGGCAUCACAUCAUUUCUAGCCCCACAAUCGCAGCAAUCCCAAUCCAACCCAAAGUCGGAGAAUAAGUCGGUAGAGGAUCCAAAUGGGGUGGGGGGAUUGGAAGCGACUUCUCGAAAAUCAAGG